rnacentral:misc_RNA from 1 species
AAGUCGUAACAAGGUUUCCGUUGGUGAACCAGCGGAAGGAUCAUUACAGAGAUCAUGCCCCUCGGGGUAGACCUCCCACCCUGUUUAUAUACUCUUGUUGCUUUGGCAGGUUGCCCUCACCAUGGGGUGUCCGGGUUCAGGCCCGCGUCGUACCUGUCAAUAGCCCCCAAACUCUGUGUUUAGUGUUGUCUGAGUCCUAUAAAAUAAGUUAAAACUUUCAACAACGGAUCUCUUGGUUCUG